rnacentral:rRNA from 1 species
AGUGAACGCUGGCGGUAGGCCUAACACAUGCAAGUCGAACAGCAUCACAGUAAGAGCUUGCUCUUACGGGUGGCGAGUGGCGGACGGGUGAGGAAUACAUCGGAAUCUACUUUUUCGUGGGGGAUAACGUAGGGAAACUUACGCUAAUACCGCAUACGACCUACGGGUGAAAGCAGGGGAUCUUCGGACCUUGCGCGAUUGAAUGAGCCGAUGUCGGAUUAGCUAGUUGGCGGGGUAAAGGCCCACCAAGGCGACGAUCCGUAGCUGGUCUGAGAGGAUGAUCAGCCACACUGGAACUGAGACACGGUCCAGACUCCUACGGGAGGCAGCAGUGGGGAAUAUUGGACAAUGGGCGCAAGCCUGAUCCAGCCAUACCGCGUGGGUGAAGAAGGCCUUCGGGUUGUAAAGCCCUUUUGUUGGGAAAGAAAAGCAGCAGGUUAAUACCCCGCUGUUCUGACGGUACCCAAAGAAUAAGCACCGGCUAACUUCGUG